GACGAACGCUGGCGGCGUGCCUAAUACAUGCAAGUAGAACGCUGAAGGAGGAGCUUGCUUCUCCGGAUGAGUUGCGAACGGGUGAGUAACGCGUAGGUAACCUGCCUGGUAGCGGGGGAUAACUAUUGGAAACGAUAGCUAAUACCGCAUAAGAGUAGAUGUUGCAUGACAUUUGCUUAAAAGGUGCAAUUGCAUCACUACCAGAUGGACCUGCGUUGUAUUAGCUAGUUGGUGGGGUAACAGCUCACCAAGGCGACGAUACAUAGCCGACCUGAGAGGGUGAUCGGCCACACUGGGACUGAGACACGGCCCAGACUCCUACGGGAGGCAGCAGUAGGGAAUCUUCGGCAAUGGACGG
rnacentral:rRNA from 1 species